rnacentral:rRNA from 1 species
UACAGGGGGUGCAAGCGUUGCUCGGAAUUACCGGGCGUAAAGCGUGCGCAGGCGGUCCUGCAAGUCGGGGGUGAAAACCCGGGGCUCAACCCCGGAAUUGCCUCCGAAACUGCCGGACUUGAGUACGAGAGAGGGUUGCGGAAUUCUUGGUGUAGAGGUGAAAUUCGUAGAUAUCAGGAAGAACACCAGUGGCGAAAGCGGCAACCUGGCUCGAUACUGACGCUCAUGCACGAAAGCGUGGGGAGCAAACAGG